UACAGAGACUGCAAGCGUUAUUCGGAUUCACUGGGCGUAAAGGGUGCGCAGGCGGUUGGGUGUGUCAGAUGUGAAAUCCCGAGGCUCAACCUCGGAACUGCGUCUGAAACUACUCGACUAGAGUACUGGAGAGGGUAACGGAAUUCACGGUGUAGCAGUGAAAUGCGUAGAUAUCCGGAGGAACACCGAUGGCGAAGGCAGCCCCCUGGGCUAACACUGACGCUCAUGCACGAAAGCGUGGGGAGCAAACAGG
rnacentral:rRNA from 1 species